rnacentral:rRNA from 1 species
UACGUAGGGGGCAAGCGUUGUCCGGAAUUAUUGGGCGUAAAGCGCGCGCAGGCGGUCUUUUAAGUCUGGUGUAUAAGUGCGGGGCUCAACCCCGUGAGGCACCGGAAACUGGAAGACUUGAGUGCAGAAGAGGAGAGCGGAAUUCCACGUGUAGCGGUGAAAUGCGUAGAGAUGUGGAGGAACACCAGUGGCGAAGGCGGCUCACUGGCCCGAUACUGACGCUGAGGCACGAAAGCGUGGGGAGCAAACAGG